GGAUAAAAGAGGAAGGAAAGAGAUAGAACAUGAAGGUACCUUUGCUGGAGAAGGGGAGAAGAAUUCAGCAAUGACAAUCUAUGAACCUCCUCACUGCCCCAGAACUUGGACUCAAGAUUACAUCUAGAGUAUCAGCACUGGCCAUCCAUCUCCCAUGACUAGAAUAUACUCCAUCUUUAUCAGCUGAAAUUCUCAUCUUACUUUAAGUUCCAUUCAGAUGGUGUAGUGAAGAAUCCUAGACUUAGUGUCAGUAGACCUAGGUUCCAAUCCAAUCCAGGUUCUGAGACUUACUAACCAUGGUUCCAGGCUUCAUAUAUGGGAAGAAAAAGGACAACACGAUUACAAAGACCAGGAGUCACACUUGGUUAGAGAAGCUAGCCAGAACCCAGGGUAUCUGCUCAUCUGAGGUUAGUCAUCCACAGAAAACCUGUGCAGAAACAAGAGGAGAACCUGAGAAAUGCUGACUGGAAAGAUGCAAGGGCCACCUGGAUGCCUAUAGCAUGAACCAACCUGAGAGGUGGGUAAAAACACAUGUCCUAGGGAGCUAUUGAAAAACUCAUUGAAAUGGUGUGAUAGCAAAAUGCAAAUGGGUCCUUUGGGGGUCUAGAGAAAAAUAAGAAGGGCACUGUAUAGAACAGAGAGUGCCCAAUCCAAGGCACAAGAACAUCCUGGUUCACUGACAUGAUUUGCCAUUGCUGAAGGAUGUGCUCAAAUAAUCAGGGCUUAAUGGCAUCAUGCUUAAAAUAAUCCAACUCCCACAGCUUAGACUCAGCAUUUACUAGUUUUAUGAGUCUUUUGCCUCCUUUCCCCCUAUUAGAUUCUCCCUGGUAUCUUGGGAUCAAACUUACCCAUGUAAAUGAUUUAUUCCCCUUACUCCUCCUUAGUAAUCAGUAAACACCUAGAAGGCAGGCACAAUUUUAUUUUUACUUUGGUGUGAACAAAGUUCACUUCUAUACCUUACUUGCAAUGGGCACUUAAAUGUGGCUGACCUGAAUUGAGAACCUUCCCACCAUAUUAUCUCCGUCUUCUAAAACACAGUAACUUCACUGGCAUAUCUGCCUCCAGAAUUUCUCUGUCUUAAUAUUCUUUAUGAUAAUACAUGUAUAACCCAGAUCAAAUUGGCUGCCAGCAUCAGGAGGAGGAGGAACAAAAGGGAAAGAGGGAGAUAAGAUCAAUCAUAUAACUUAAGAAAACUUGUGUGGAAAUCUGUUGUUACUAAUUAGUAAAAAAAAUAGUGAAUUAAUAUGCAUUAGGCCAGUGUUGGCAAAUCUUUUAGAGAUCCUGUGCCCAAACUGUACCUUUAAACCACCUGUGAGCCCCUCACAUUAUUGCAAAGAGUGUGGAAGGAGGAAGUCCUUGUACUGAUCUGUUGGACAGAGGGACAGAACAUGUGAAAAUUGUCCUCAGGUGUGGUGGAGAGGGAGAACAGAGCAGCCCCCUCCAGCACACCAGGGCAUGUGUGCCACAUCUUUGCCAACACAGCUUUAAGAUAAGAUUAGGUAUGUUAAUUAGGCAUUAAAUCUUUACAAAUAUAGAUUAUAAUAACUUGUCUCAAAUAGCAGAGGAGGGGAAACAAUUGGCACUUAAAAAAAACCCCUAACUUUCUCUUAGUAUCAUUUUUUUGUUUAAACCCUUACCUUCCAUCUUAGAAUCAAUACUGUGUGUUGGUUCUAAGGCAGAAGAGUGGUAAGAGCUAGGCAAUGGGGAUCAAGUGACUUACCCAGGAUUAAUGUCUGAGGCCAGAUUUGGACCCAGGACCUCCCAUCUCUAGGCCUGGCUCUCAAUCUACUGAGCCACCCAGCUGCCCCAGUAUAAUUUCUAAUAUUGAAGAGUGGUAAAGGGUAGGCAAUGGGGAUUAAGUGGCUUGCUCAGCCUACACAGCUAGGAAGUGUCUGAGGCCAAACUGGAAAUUAGGACCUCCCAACUCUGGGCCUGGCAUGCAACAAUUGCCACUUUAACAUAGGUUACCUAAGUACAGUUAUAAAAUGCACUUUUAACAUAAGAAACAUUGCUAUGAAUCUACUCAUAAGCAUCAAUAUAACCAUUUCUUUUACUGAGAAAAUAUACCACUGAGGUCUCACACCUUCCAAAAUGUAUCAGAAGGAACAUUCUAAAUGACUAAAUUUUUAUUUAAAAGAAUUUAAGAUCUUGAUCACAGUCCAGCAUUUUAUAAAUGCACACACACUCCCCUAUACCCAUGAGAAUUUAACACCAGCUUGUACCUCUUUUCUUUCUCUUGGGAUCCUAAGAUAAGAGGGUUGUGUGUGCAAGUGUGUGUGUGUGUGUGUGUGUGUGUGUGUGUGUGUGUGUGUGUGUGUGUGUGUGUGUGUGUGUGCAGCUAGAGGCCUCCAGGCUCUCUGGUACCUAGAAGACAUUUAUCCCACUCCCAACUAUGGAAAGGUCUCAGAAAAGUGAUGUCUCAAGGAGCAUAAAAUUGGAUUGGAGAAAGGGAAGUCAUUCUUUUUUUGCCUUGGAAGCAUGGUAAGCAGAAGAGGCUAGGUGAGCCCUGGUGUGCAUGUGGUGUGAUCCUGCAACGGGCCUGGGGGAGGCAGGCAGGAGAGUGCCAACCUGGGUAAGCACUGGCUAGGGGAGGAGAGUAUCAAAG